GCGUUGUCCGGAAUUAUUGGGCGUAAAGGGCUCGUAGGCGGUCCAUCGCGUCGGGAGUGAAAAGCUGGGGCUCAACCCCAGUCCUGCUUCCGAUACGGGUGGACUAGAGGUAGGUAGGGGAGAUCGGAAUUCCUGGUGUAGCGGUGAAAUGCGCAGAUAUCAGGAGGAACACCGGUGGCGAAGGCGGAUCUCUGGGCCUUACCUGACGCUGAGGAGCGAAAGCAUG
rnacentral:rRNA from 1 species